AUAAUGUUGAUAGUGAUGCUGGUGAUCCAAACUUUGGGGAGGUGGAGGUUGAGAAUGACAAGGAAGAGGACCAUUAUGGGGACUUGGUCUCUGACAGAGAAGAAGAAGAAACCAACAAGAAUGAUGGGCUUGAACUUAUAGUAUCAGAAAGCAACAAGACUGAUGGGCCUAAUUGUUC